rnacentral:tRNA from 2 species
GCAUCCAUAGCUCAGCUGGAUAGAGCACCGGUUUUCUAAACCGUAGGUCAUAGGUUCGAAUCCUAUUGGGUGUA